AGGCAGCAGUGGGGAAUCUUGCGCAAUGGGCGAAAGCCUGACGCAGCGACGCCGCGUGGGGGAUGAAGCUUCUCGGAGUGUAAACCCCUUUCGACCGGGACGAAAACCCGCAAGGGUCUGACGGUACCGGUAUAAGAAGCCCCGGCUAACUACGUGCCAGCAGCCGCGGUAAUACGUAGGGGGCCAGCGUUGCUCGGAAUUACUGGGCGUAAAGGGUCCGUAGGCGGUGUGGCAAGUCGGGAGUGAAAUCCUGGAGCUUAACUUCAGGACGGCUUCCGAAACUGCCAUGCUCGAGUGUGGGAGAGGCGAGUGGAAUUGCAGGUGUAGCGGUGAAAUGCGUAGAUAUCUGCAGGAACACCAGUGGCGAAAGCGGCUCGCUGGACCACAACUGACGCUGAGGGACGAAAGCUAGGGGAGCAAACAGGAUUAGAUACCCUGGUAGUCCUAGCCCUAAACCAUCAGGACUUGGCGUGUCCCAUUCACUUGGGACGUGCCGGAGCUAACGCGUUAAGUCCUGCGCCUGGGGAGUAUGGUCGCAAGACUGAAACUCAAAGGAAUUGACGGGGGCCCGCACAAGCGGUGGAACAUGUGGUUCAAUUCGACGCAACGCGAAGAACCUUACCUGGGCUUGAACCGCUGGAGACCAUUCGCCGAAAGGCGAACUUCCCGCAAGGGACUCCAGUAGAGGUGCUGCAUGGCUGUCGUCAGCUCGUGCCGUGAGGUGUUGGGUUAAGUCCCGCAACGAGCGCAACCC
rnacentral:rRNA from 1 species